GACGAACGCUGGCGGCGUGCUUAACACAUGCAAGUCGAACGGUAAGGCCCUUCGGGGUACACGAGUGGCGAACGGGUGAGUAACACGUGGGUGAUCUGCCCUGCACUUCAGGAUAAGCCUGGGAAACUGGGUCUAAUACCGGAUAGGACUCCGGACUGCAUGGUCUGGGGUGGAAAGCUUUUGCGGUGUGGGAUGGGCCCGCGGCCUAUCAGCUUGUUGGUGGGGUGAUGGCCUACCAAGGCGACGACGGGUAGCCGGCCUGGGAGGGUGACCGGCCACACGGCGACUGCGAUACGGACCAGACUCCUACGGGAGGCAGCAGUGGGGAAUAUUGCACAAUGGGCGCAAGCCUGAUGCAGCGACGCCGCGUGAGGGAUGACGGCCUUCGGGUUGUAAACCUCUUUCAGCAUCGACGAAGCGAAAGUGACGGUAGGUGCAGAAGAAGGACCGGCCAACUACGUGCCAGCAGCCGCCGUAA
rnacentral:rRNA from 1 species